rnacentral:tRNA from 2 species
GACAGUUUGGCCGAGUGGUUAAGGCGGCAGACUCGAAUUGGGCUUUUCUCGAGGCCUUUUCUCGUCAUCUGCUGGGUUCGCCCGCACAGGUUCAAAUCCUGUAGCUGUCG